rfam:Schistosoma mansoni strain Puerto Rico chromosome 4, complete genome
GAUCAGCUGAUGAGUCGCAAAUAGAACGAAACGUGUGUCCUGGGU